GUGGGGAAUAUUGGACAAUGGGGGGAACCCUGAUCCAGCCAUGCCGCGUGUGUGAAGAAGGCCUUUUGGUUGUAAAGCACUUUAAGCGAGGAGGAGGCUACCGAGAUUAAUACACUUGGAUAGUGGACGUUACUCGCAGAAUAAGCACCGGCUAACUCUGUGCCAGCAGCCGCGGUAAUACAGAGGGUGCAAGCGUUAAUCGGAUUUACUGGGCGUAAAGCGCGCGUAGGUGGCCACUUAAGUCAAAUGUGAAAUCCCCGAGCUUAACUUGGGAAUUGCAUUCGAUACUGGUUGGCUAGAGUAUGGGAGAGGAUGGUAGAAUUCCAGGUGUAGCGGUUAAAUGCGUAGAGAUCUGGAGGAAUACCGAUGGCGAAGGCAGCCAUCUGGCCUAAUACUGACACUGAGGUGCGAAAGCAUGGGGAGCAAACAGGAUUAGAUACCCUGGUAGUCC
rnacentral:rRNA from 1 species